UCUUCUGGCUUGGGUGAGUACUUUUGAACAGGAUGAAGACAUCAUUCUUUGGAACUUGGGAACAAAGAUGUGAUCACCAUGGCCUCUAUCUACCACUUCAUGAACACGAGUGAAAUGCAACUUUGCACCUUCAAUUUAGACUCUUGAGCCUCACAAAUUCAAAUGCUUCCUCUGGCUGGUGUGGAGGAAAAAGCUUAAUAUCCUUGGAAAGAAACUUAGAAAAAAUCUUGGCCUACGUGCCAAUUGCUGUCAAGCUCCUGAAUUGGUAGGCCAUCUCUUCUCCGCUUGCCCAAUCUUUCCACGAUCUGGAAAGUAAUAUGCUUCAUCUUGAGAGUUCUCCACCCAAUGUCUACAUUUGAUUCCCUUUGCACACAUUAGAUUCAAAAAAAAUUUUUGCAAAGAUCCUGCGGCCAGUCAUCCUCAUGUUACUAGUAGUGAUUGCUUGGGCAUGUUGGAAGGAAAGGAAUAGCAGAUUAUUCCCAAACAAGCAUCACUCCAUCGACACAAUUGCAUC
rnacentral:lncRNA from 1 species